UUUUAUUUGAGAGUUUGAUCCUGGCUCAGGAUAAACGCUGGCGGCGUGCCUAACACAUGCAAGUUGAGCGAUUUACUUCGGUAAAGAGCGGCGGACGGGUGAGUAACGCGUGGGUAACCUACCCUGUACACACGGAUAA
rnacentral:rRNA from 1 species